GCUCAGUGUGGGGUUUUUUUAGCAUUUAAACACCAAAUGCUAUCAUAUGAUACUUAUUAUAUCUUGUUAAUGAUGUCUUUCCCUUUAGAUGGCAAGCUCCAAGAUGACAUGGACAGUUUGUUUCUUUCUUGCUCAUGGCAGAAUCCCCAGUGUCUAGCUCUGUGCCUGUGACUAGUAGAUGCUCAAUAAAUAUUUCCUGAGCGAAUGAAGAAAGGAAUAAAUGUCGUGAAGGAAAACAAACCAGGCUGUACCAUAACCUUAUGAGCUUAUAAGACAAAAGUGGAUUCUGGAAUUUGGGUGCUAGAGUCUUCAACCCAAAAUCAGAGGACUGCUGGACAGCUACUGAGGCUGGACUCUAGAUAGCCAUUUGAGUGGCCAACUUUCUGCAGGUUUUAUUUUGAAGACAUGCCACAAGCUAGUGACUCCAAACCUUUAGAUGUGAUGGAACCUCUUUAAGAUACUGCCUGACCCACAGAAUUCUGUGUAUAUGUGCACUUUGCGGGGAACCUGAAACUCUGCUGGAAGCCUCAAGGGAUCAGUGAGACAGGCAGGGGAGAGGGAAGCACGGAAGCACAGAGGCAACAUGAAGGGGAAAUAAGAAAUGAUUUGGCCACUGAGAGUAACUGCAGCAGCUUUGGAGAAGCCCAGCCAUGUGUGAAGAGACUGGUGCACCUGAGAAUCGAGGCAGAAGCCUGGGAACGUUUUAGGACCAGAUGCCACCCAAACCACAGGGUGCGGUGAUGAUAAAGACUGCAGGGGCCUGGGGUGAGUCAGUGGUCUGGGGG
rnacentral:lncRNA from 1 species